UCGGGAGUCUUGCACAAUGGGGGAAACCCUGAUGCAGCGACGUCGCGUGUGGGAUGAAGUAUUUCGGUAUGUAAACCACUUUUGCGGGGGGCGAACACAAUGACGGUACCCCGCGAAUAAGCCCCGGCUAACUACGUGCCAGCAGCCGCGGUAAUACGUAGGGGGCGAGCGUUGCUCGGAUUGACUGGGCGUAAAGCGCGCGUAGGCGGUCCAUUAAGCGUGCGGUGAAAUGCAGAGGCUCAACCUCUGUCCCGCCGCGCGAACUGGUGGUCUUGAGAUUGGGAGGGGGAUGCGGAAUUCCUGGUGUAGCGGUGAAAUGCAUUGAUAUCAGGAGGAACACCGGCGGCGAAGGCGGCAUCCUGGCUUAUAUCUGACGCUGAGGCGCGAAAGCGUGGGUAGCAAACGGG
rnacentral:rRNA from 1 species